rnacentral:rRNA from 1 species
GGUUACUGCUAUCGGUGUUCGCCUAAGCCAUGCGAGUCAUAUGUUCUUCGUGAACAUGGCGUACUGCUCAGUAACACGUGGAUAACCUGCCCUUGGGUCCGGCAUAACCCCGGGAAACUGGGGAUAAUUCCGGAUACCGCAUAUCUGCUGGAAUGCUUUAUGCGUAAAAUGGAUUCGUCUGCCCAAGGAUGGGUCUGCGGCCUAUCAGGUAGUAGUGGGUGUAACGUACCUACUAGCCAACGACGGGUACGGGUUGUGAGAGCAAGAGCCCGGAGAUGGAUUCUGAGACAUGAAUCCAGGCCCUACGGGGCGCAGCAGGCGCGAAAACUUUACAAUGCGGGAAACCGUGAUAAGGGGACACCGAGUGCCAGCAUCAUAUGCUGGCUGUCCGGGUGUGUAAAAUACACCUGUUAGCAAGGGCCGGGCAAGACCGGUGCCAGCCGCCGCGGUAACACCGGCGGCCCGAGUGGUGAUCGUGAUUAUUGGGUCUAAAGGGUCCGUAGCCGGUUUGGUCAGUCCUCCGGGAAAUCUGACGGCUUAACCGUUAGGCUUUCGGGGGAUACUGCCAGGCUUGGAACCGGGAGAGGUAAGAGGUACUACAGGGGUAGGAGUGAAAUCUUGUAAUCCCUGUGGGACCACCUGUGGCGAAGGCGUCUUACCAGAACGGGUUCGACGGUGAGGGACGAAAGCUGGGGGCACGAACCGGAUUAGAUACCCGGGUAGUCCCAGCCGUAAACGAUGCUCGCUAGGUGUCAGGCAUGGCGCGACCGUGUCUGGUGCCGCAGGGAAGCCGUGAAGCGAGCCACCUGGGAAGUACGGCCGCAAGGCUGAAACUUAAAGGAAUUGGCGGGGGAGCACAACAACGGGUGGAGCCUGCGGUUU